UUCAUCUAUGCAGUUCACUCAUGAAAAUGAAAUUAGAAAAAAAACUAUACACCAUUAAUUAAUUCAACAGAAUGGUUUUGACAGUAUUCCAGUCCAACUGACAUAACAGAAACAAGCAAAGUUGAAAUGCUAUUGAAUUCAGAAUGACUGCUCAGCAGUUCUUGUCAGCUACAAAAAGCUGGUUGUUGUUGUUGUUUAGCCCCAGGUAAGUCUCGAUUGAUCAGACCUAUGAUCAAAAAUAGUCCAGCUGUGACCACCCCUUUUUUUUUCAGACAUAUUUUACCCAGGUCUAAAUUAUUCAAUAGUGUAUUUUAUGGCAUAGAAGAUUCACACCAAUUACAGUAGUGCAUAUUCAGAAAAGACAAAAAAAAGAAAAAAUUUAGCAUUUGAUAAUUUAAUCCUUUCGCAUUCAGAUUACUCCAUUACAUGUAAUUCUUAUUAAUUCAAAUUGCUUUGAAUUAAUCAUGCAUUAUCUCAUAGCUUUCAGAUUUUAAGGAUAUGAUUGUUUACUUUUAAAAUGACAUUGCAGGGUAGUUGUGAGUGGCUGUGGUUUUAAUGCCAAAGGGUUAAAGCAACUUUGCAUAUGAAACUCAGAGUAUUUCUUUUUUUUUCUUAUGAGACUUAUAUUUUUAAGGUUUCUGAAUUGAAAAGUUUUUGCUUUAACAAAGCAUAACAAAGAUUGUACAGAAGUUUAUAAGUAGAAAAUAACAAAAGAUUUUUCUAUUAGAAUGGAAAUAAGAUGUUUUAUUUUCAUAAUUGUUGACACCAGUUAGGUCUUUGAACACCUUAUUAAAAAUGUCAGUGUUAUUAUUUACAUUCCAACAGUGAAAGAUGUCAGGUAGCGCCAGAAGACAAUUAUUUGUGGUAAUAUUAUGAAAAUACUCGAAUUAAGUCAUUACAUAAGGCCAAUUGAAUUAAAGAAAAAGUGGAGGAGGAAUAUUUAAAGUAGACAAGAUUUCAGUGAAAUUUUAAGAUAUAUGUAAACAUUUUGCGACAGAGAAGACAAGGUGUCAUUAAAACAAAAUAAAUGUGUUAAAAUGUUUUAUUUAUUAAAAAAAAAAACCUGUUAAAUUAGUAGAAAAACAUUUUCAUUUGUGAAAAAGGAAUAGACUGCUAAAUUCAAUUAGGCCAUAAAUUUUGGUUUUAGUUUUGAAACUAUACACCAUUAAUUAAUUCAACAGAAUGGUUUUGACAGUAUUCCAGUUCAACUGACAUAACAGAAACAAGCAAAGUUGAAAUGCUAUUGAAUUCAGAAUGACUGCUCAGCAGUUCUUGUCAGCUACAAAAAGCUGGUUGUUGUUGUUUAGCCCCAGGUAAUGCUCGAUUGAUCAGACCCAUGAUCAAAAAUAGUCCAGCUGUGACCACCCCUUUUUUUUCAGACAUAUUUUACCUAGGUCUAAAUUAUUCAAUAUAUCUUCUUUACUUCAAGCUGGAAGGGAGGGAUUCGAGGGAGAUUUGUCUUCUAUAUUUAGCAGGUUAAGCAACCUCACAGAGGCUUCUGCAUCAG
rnacentral:lncRNA from 1 species